rnacentral:lncRNA from 1 species
AAAAUUUCUCCCUCUCCAUCUGUCUCUCUCUCUCCCUGUCCCUCUGUCUCUGUCUCCCUUUCUCUCUGUGUGUCUCUUCGGCUCUCUCUGUCUGUCUGUCUCUCUCCCUCUCUCUCUCUCUCUCUCUCUCUCUUUCUCUGUCUCUCUCUCUUUCUAUCUCUGUAUCUCUCUGUCCCUCCCUCCCUCCCUCUUGUUUCCUCUUUCUAAACUUCAUUUUCUUAAAGACAGCCCUGUAGCCCCAGGCCCUCAGAUUAAUACAGUUUCACCUUACUGAACUCUGUAGGCCGUGACGCGAGGAGCCAGCCAGCUCAAGCCAGUUCCUGACGCCUGACUGUAAACAGCCCUUCCCAGUCGCAGGUUCAGUGAUGUCACUUUGGGAACUUGAAAUUAGCCACUCCGAGUACUUGCACCCUGGAAACUGACAGAUGCUACAAAUCAGGUAUUUUCUUUCAGAGAGCUGACCGUUACACUUUCGUCAUCACACUGCUGGGCGAUUUCCAAAGGCCACUUUAAAGAGAAUUAAACAGAACAUGGAAAGAAAAACUGUGAAAUCAAAAGCCUGCAGGAGAACUAGAAGACGGAUAGAAUCCUAUGUCUGGUAUCCGCCAGCCUGCUCCCUUCCUUCCCCACCUAACGUAGCCGACCUCUGGAAUCGCGCCUUCAAAGUCCCCUCGCGUUUUCGUAAACACAGCGCUACCACACUCGUACAUGUAUGACCCAAAGUAUGUUUUACACCCGGAGCACAUCCUGACUGAGGCGGGCUUUGGGUCAGGUGUUUGACAGCCACCUGCGGGCAGCAGGCGCCAUGCCGGGCGGAGCAGCUCCAAACACACCCUCGGUACCUGGAAGUCAGCAGAUGUCUCCUUGUCAGUACGUCUGUCUCUGUCUGUGGCUCUCUCUCUCCCCCGUCUCACUUAGUCUCGGUCCCUGACUGUUGGGCUUCUUGCAAAUUCUGUUCAUUUCUCCUUUUUUCCUCUCUCUCUGUCUCUGUCGGUGUCCUUCUGUCCCCCUGAGUCUGGAGGGUCUUUCUGUGUCACUAUUGCCCCGAG